ACGCCUAACACAUGCAAGUCGAACGCAGUAGCAAUACUGAGUGGCAAACGGGUGAGUAUAAUGUGGGAAUCUGCCUUUUGGUUUGGAAUAACACGGGGAAACUUGUGCUAAUACCGAAUAAGCCCUUACGGGGAAAGUUUUAAUGCCGAAAGAUGAGCCCGCACUUGAUUAGCUAGUUGGUAAGGUAAAAGCUUACCAAGGCAAUGAUCAAUAGCUGUUCUUAGAGGAAGACCAGCCACAUUGGGACUGAGACACGGCCCAGACUCCUACGGGAGGCAGCAGUGGGGAAUCUUGCACAAUGGGGGAAACCCUGAUGCAGCGAUGCCGCGUGAGUGAAGAAGGCCUUUGGGUUGUAAAACUCUUUCGUCGGGGAAGAAAAUGACUGUACCCGAAUAAGAAGGUCCGGCUAACUUCGUGCCAGCAGCCGCGGUAAUACGAAGGGACCUAGCGUAGUUCGGAAUUACUGGGCUUAAAGAGCUCGUAGGUGGUUAAAAAAGUUGAUGGUGAAAUCCCAAGGCUUAACCUUGGAACUGCCAUCAAAACUUUUUAGCUAGAGUGUGAUAGAGGUAAGUGGAAUUUCUAGUGUAGAGGUGAAAUUCGUAGAUAUUAGAAAGAACACCAAAUGCGAAGGCAACUUACUGGGUCACUACUGACACUGAGGAGCGAAAGCAUGGGUAGCGAAGAGGAUUAGAUACCCUCGUAGUCCAUGCUGUAAACGAUGUGUGCUAGACGUUGGAAAUAUAUUUUUCAGUGUCGCAGCGAAAGCAUUAAGCACACCGCCUGGGGAGUACGACC
rnacentral:rRNA from 1 species